rnacentral:rRNA from 1 species
ACGGAAGGCAGCAGUGGGGAAUAUUGGGCAAUGGGGGAAACCCUGACCCAGCAACGCCGCGUGAAGGAAGAAGGCCUUCGGGUUGUAAACUUCUUUUACCAGGGACGAUAAUGACGGUACCUGGAGAAAAAGCAACGGCUAACUACGUGCCAGCAGCCGCGGUAAUACGUAGGUUGCAAGCGUUGUCCGGAUUUACUGGGUGUAAAGGGCGUGUAGGCGGAGCUGCAAGUCAGAUGUGAAAUCCCGGGGCUCAACCCCGGAACUGCAUUUGAAACUGUAGCCCUUGAGAAUCGGAGAGGCAAGCGGAAUUCCUAGUGUAGCGGUGAAAUGCGUAGAUAUUAGGAGGAACACCAGUGGCGAAGGCGGCUUGCUGGACGACAACUGACGCUGAGGCGCGAAAGCGUGGGGAGCAAACAGGAUUAGAUACCCUGGUA